UUUAGUCAGUCAAAAAUAACCCACCUUUGAAUUCUGUUCGUUUAAUAAAUCUUCAAAUUAAUUUUUACUAAAAUAAAUUUGUCAAUCCCGUGAAUUCUUAAUUACAAGAGGUUAUGGAUUGUUUAUGCAAUUAAAACCAAUAGGACUAAAAUGAAAUCUGGAAGUUAUGUUGAAAUUUACGAAUUAUCAAUGUUGGAAUAUUGUGAAACAUUGGUGGGCCGGGACAUAAUUAUUCAGCAGGAUAAUGCUUCAAAAAUAUUGGAAGUUUUCAAAAAGCCAACACGUAGUCCAGAUAUAAAUCUAAUCGAGGUCCUAUGGAAAAUCGUAUAACAAGGGAAGCAGUACGAAAGUGCUUCCGCACUAAAACGUGUCAUAAGAACCGUAGUUUUCAAAACAAUCGAUAAAAAAUUGUAUUUUCAAUGUAAAAAAAUUAAACGAAGGAAGAAUCAAUAACUAACAUUUCGUUUUUGCGCAUCAAAUUUUUAUGUGGAAAAUUCAUCUUAGGUCUAUUUUACGUAAAUAAAUAAAACGCCUUUAAAUAAUAAAAAAUAGUAAUCAA
rnacentral:sRNA from 1 species